CGGCAGGUUGGAAGAUACGGAUUUAAAAACUUGAUUUAAAAAUCCAUGUUUGCUUGUAGAGUUCUGUAUUUUAUUCAGGAGUAGUUCUUUCUUUGUAUAAUUUGGGAGUGGUUCCUUUGUAUCUACCUUUGGUUGCCGAAAUAGUGGACCCCUAAUUUCGCUUUCCGUCUGCUAAAGGUUUUUGUCUCUCUGUAUGAUUUGGAAGUAGUCUCCUAAUUUUUUAUGCUAAACAAUCUUCUGAAUAGUGGACUGUAAUGCAUGUCAUUGGAUAUUUAUUCAAGAAUCAAUUUGAUCAAUACUGUCUGUUCUUAUUCAGACAACUAUUUGUAUUUCAUCUACUUUCUAUUGCAUUUGUGAUCUUAUCUAUGUCUUUUGUGACAACUG
rnacentral:lncRNA from 1 species